AGAUUGAACGCUGGCGGCAUGCCUAACACAUGCAAGUCGAACGGGAGUAGCAAUACUCUAGUGGCGGACGGGUGAGGAAUACGUAGGAAUUUGCCCUUAAGUGGGGGAUAACCCGGGGAAACCCGGAUUAAUACCGCAUGACCUCGAAAGAGCAAAGUGGGGGAUCGCAAGACCUCACGCUUUUGGAGAAGCCUACGUCGGAUUAGCUAGUUGGUGAGGUAAUGGCUCACCAAGGCGACGAUCCGUAACUGGUCUGAGAGGAUGAUCAGUCACACCGGAACUGAGACACGGUCCGGACUCCUACGGGAGCAGCAGUGGGGAAUAUGGACAAGUGGGACGCAAGCCUAGAAUCCAGCAAUGCCGCGUGUGUGAAGAGGUCCUUCGGUUGUAAGCUAACGUUUAAGUUAGGGAAGAAAAACGUACGCUACGUAACACAACGUGACGUC
rnacentral:rRNA from 1 species